rnacentral:rRNA from 1 species
UACAGAGGUCCCAAGCGUUGUUCGGAUUCACUGGGCGUAAAGGGUGCGUAGGCGGUCGGGUAAGUCUGAUGUGAAAUCUCACAGCUUAACUGUGAAACUGCAUUGGAUACUAUCCGGCUUGAGAGUUGGAGGGGGACUGGAAUUCUUGGUGUAGCAGUGAAAUGCGUAGAUAUCAAGAGGAACACCAGUGGCGAAGGCGAGUCCCUGGACAACUUCUGACGCUGAGGAGCGAAAGCGUGGGGAGCAAACAGG